CAAGACCUUGCGCUUUUGGAGCGGCCGAUGUCUGAUUAGCUAGGUGGUGGGGUAAAGGCUUACCAAGGCUUCGAUCAGUAGCUGGUCUGAGAGGACGACCAGCCACACUGGGACUGAUACACGGCCCAGACUCCUACGGGAGGCAGCAGUGGGGAAUUUUGGACAAUGGUGGAAACCCGGAUCCAGCCAUGCCGCGUGAGUGAAGAAGGCCUUCGGGUUGUAAAGCUACUUCAGCCGGAACGAAAAGGUUACGGCUAAUACCCGUGACAAAUGACGGUACCGGAAGAAGAAGCACCGGCUAACUACGUGCCAGCAGCCGCGGUAAUACGUAGGGUGCAAGCGUUAAUCGGAAUUACUGGGCGUAAAGCGUGCGCAGGCGGUCUUGUAAGUCAGAUGUGAAAUCCCCGGGCUUAACCUGGGAACU
rnacentral:rRNA from 1 species